AAUAUUUUACAAUGGGGGCAACCCUGAUCCAGCCAUGUCGCGUGUGUGAAGAAGUUCUUCGGAUGGUACAGCACUUUAAGUUGGGAGGAAGGGCUUUAGGUUAAUACCCUGAAGUUUUGACGUUACCAACAGAAUAAGCACCGGCUAACUCUGUGCCAGCAGCCGCGGUAAUACAGAGGGUGCAAGCGUUAAUCGGAAUUACUGGGCGUAAAGCGCGCGUAGGUGGUUCAGUAAGAUGGAAGUGAAAUCCCCGGGCUUAACCUGGGAACUGCUUUCAUAACUGCUGAGCUAGAGUACGGUAGAGGGUGGUGGAAUUUCCUGUGUAGCGGUGAAAUGCGUAGAUAUAGGAAGGAACACCAGUGGCGAAGGCGACUACCUGGACUGAUACUGACACUGAGGUGCGAAAGCGUGGGGAGCAAAC
rnacentral:rRNA from 1 species